rnacentral:rRNA from 1 species
CCCUUAGAUGUUCUGGGCCGCACACGUGCUACACUGAGUGGAUCAGCGGGUCAGGUUGCGCGAAAGUGUUUCCUAAUCUUGAAAUCCGCUCGUGAUGGGGAUUGACGGUUGCAAUUUUCCGUCAUGAACGAGGAAUACCUUGUAAGCGCGGGUCAUCAUCCCGCGCUGAAUACGUCCCUGCCCUUUGUACACACCGCCCGUCGCUCCUACCGAUUGAGUGGUCCGGUGAGGCUUUGGGAUCUGAGCGGAAAGAGCGUUUCGCUGUUUCUGCUCGGAAAACUCAGUCGAACCUUAUCAUUUAGAGGAAGGAGAAGUCGUAACA